AUUGAACGCUGGCGGCAGGCCUAACACAUGCAAGUCGAGCGAGCGGCGGACGGGUGAGUAAUGUCUGGGAAACUGCCUGAUAGAGGGGGAUAACUACUGGAAACGGUAGCUAAUACCGCAUACUAUCAGAUGUGCCCCGAUGGGAUUAGCUAGUAGGUGGGGUAACGGCUCACCUAGGCGACGAUCCCUAGCUGGUCUGAGAGGAUGACCAGCCACACUGGGACUGAGACACGGUCCAGACUCCUACGGGAGGCAGCAGUGGGGAAUAUUGCACAAUGGGCGCAAGCCUGAUGCAGCCAUGCCGCGUGUGUGAAGAAGGCCUUCGGGUUGUAAAGCACUUUCAGCGGGGAGGCGUUACCCGCAGAAGAAGCACCGGCUAACUCCGUGCCAGCAGCCGCGGUAAUUC
rnacentral:rRNA from 1 species